rnacentral:rRNA from 1 species
AGAGUUUGAUCAUGGCUCAGAAUCAACGCUGGCGGCGUGCCUAACACAUGCAAGUCGAGCGAGAAAAGGGGAGCAAUCCCCUGAGUACAGCGGCGCACGGGUGAGUAACACGUGGGUAAUCUGCCCUGGAGUGGGGAAUAACACCGGGAAACCGGUGCUAAUACCGCAUACGAUCACAGAGUCUGCGGAUUUUGUGAUGAAAGGAGCAAUUCGCUCUAGGAGGAGCCCGCGGCUGAUUAGCUAGUUGGUGAGGUAAUGGCUCACCAAGGCAACGAUCAGUAUCCGGUCUGAGAGGACGGUCGGACACACUGGAACUGAGACACGGUCCAGACUCCUACGGGAGGCAGCAGUGGGGAAUUUUUGGCAAUGGGGGCAACCCUGACCAAGCAACGCCGCGUGGGUGAUGAAGUCUCUUGGGACGUAAAACCCUUUCGACGGGGACGAAACCGCAAGGUUGACGGUACCCGUAGAAGAAGCCCCGGCUAACUCCGUGCCAGCAGCCGCGGUAAUACGGGGGGGGCAAGCGUUGUUCGGAAUUACUGGGCGUAAAGGGCGCGUAGGCGGUGCUCUAAGUCGGAUGUGAAAACUCUGGGCUCAACCCAGAGCCUGCAUCCGAAACUGGAGUGCUAGAGUUCUGGAGGGGGUAGCGGAAUUCCUGGUGUAGCGGUGAAAUGCGUAGAUAUCAGGAGGAACACCGGUGGCGAAGGCGGCUACCUGGACAGAAACUGACGCUGAGGCGCGAAAGCUAGGGGAGCAAACAGGAUUAGAUACCCUAGUAGUCC